AUUGAACGCUGGCGGCAGGCCUAACACAUGCAAGUCGAGCGGAUGAGGGGUGCUUGCACCCUGAUUCAGCGGCGGACGGGUGAGUAAUGCCUAGGAAUCUGCCCGAUAGUGGGGGACAACGUUUCGAAAGGAACGCUAAUACCGCAUACGUCCUACGGGAGAAAGCAGGGGACCUUCGGGCCUUGCGCUAUCGGAUGAGCCUAGGUCGGAUUAGCUAGUUGGUGAGGUAAUGGCUCACCAAGGCGACGAUCCGUAACUGGUCUGAGAGGAUGAUCAGUCACACUGGAACUGAGACACGGUCCAGACUCCUACGGGAGGCAGCAGUGGGGAAUAUUGGACAAUGGGCGAAAGCCUGAUCCAGCCAUGCCGCGUGUGUGAAGAAGGUCUUCGGAUUGUAAAGCACUUUAAGUUGGGAGGAAGGGCUGUAAGCUAAUAUCUUGCAGUUUUGACGUUACCAACAGAAUAAGCACCGGCUAACUUCGUGCCAGCCGCCGCGGUAACAC
rnacentral:rRNA from 1 species